CCUACGGGGGGCUGCAGUGGGGAAUAUUGGACAAUGGGGGGAACCCUGAUCCAGCCAUGCCGCGUGUGUGAAGAAGGCCCUCGGGUUGUAAAGCACUUUCAGUGAGGAAGAACGCCUGGUGGUUAAUACCCAUCAGGAAAGACAUCACUCACAGAAGAAGCACCGGCUAACUCCGUGCCAGCAGCCGCGGUAAUACGGAGGGUGCGAGCGUUAAUCGGAAUUACUGGGCGUAAAGCGCGCGUAGGUGGCUUGAUAAGCCAGUUGUGAAAGCCCCGGGCUCAACCUGGGAACGGCAUCCGGAACUGUCAAGCUAGAGUGCAGGAGAGGAAGGUAGAAUUCCCGGUGUAGCGGUGAAAUGCGUAGAGAUCGGGAGGAAUACCAGUGGCGAAGGCGGCCUUCUGGACUGACACUGACACUGAGGUGCGAAAGCGUGGGUAGCAAACAGGAUUAGAUACCCUGGUAGUC
rnacentral:rRNA from 1 species